UCGUCUACAAGGUCGAGAUUACACAUGCGGACUUCUCUCAGUAGUGUGGAGACUGAUGGCAAUUGAUCAGAUGGUCAUAUAUGCUCGAUCGUUCGUGAAGACUUGCAAGUUGCAAGUAUUAAAAACGAUUGUUUCUUGACAUACUUCGUAUAAUUGAUUGAACAAAAUGAGUGGUGUGUGUCAAUUAGGUGGUAAGAAUCCCUAAGGUUGGCUUCCAUCGAUGCCAUGGUUUCCAAUACUUGCUGCGAGAUGGAAGUGAUUCUCGGUCCUCAGAAACUCAAUCCGUCAAGGUUUGACGAUAUAUACGAGUCAAAAGUACCGUACAGCUUCUCAGGUUUUGGGAUGGGAGGGAGGUGCCUGGGGAUGCUCAUGGCCAAAGGCCAUGAUAUUGGUCUUUCUCCACCGUCUCAUCAUUACGGACAAGGUCCACACCCCUACUUGUUGUAUAUUGGGUAGUUAGCUUAACACUAUUUAAAAUCACAAUUAGGAACAUAUUAAAUCAGCUUUGUUAUGGAUAGGAAUAUUCAUAAGACGAAGGCAUCGUUUCAUUUGUCUAUCUUUUCAUUCAAUUAGGAAAUUAUUUAAAAAUACUUUUAAAAUAACCCAAACCAAUUUUGAUGAAAAUAUCUUUAGAACUGCUCACGCGCUUUGGAAUUGGACACAAUAUAAAACCCUGUAUGGCGAAAACGACAAGUACACCAAAUUUGACCCUAGAAUUCAUGCCAGAGAAAUAUUGACUACAUAGUUAGAAUCUCUUAUCUGUCUUCCAUUUCGGGAUCAUUCAACUUAAAUAUAAUAGAAGGUAGCCUGAGCAAUUCCAAAUUAAUUAAGGUGCCAAAAAUACCAGCCAAGCUUCCCGGGAAAUGGCGCCAAACUCUAUCCAUUUUUUUCUAUACAAACAAUAAUAUAUACAAAAUUAAUUUAAACUAUAGAAAGAACAUCUAAA